rnacentral:rRNA from 1 species
GAUGAACACUGGCGGCGUGCCUAAUACAUGCAAGUCGAGCGAACGGACGAGAAGCUUGCUUCUCUGAUGUUAGCGGCGGACGGGUGAGUAACACGUGGAUAACCUACCUAUAAGACUGGGAUAACUUCGGGAAACCGGAGCUAAUACCGGAUAAUAUUUUGAACCGCAUGGUUCAAAAGUGAAAGACGGUCUUGCUGUCACUUAUAGAUGGAUCCGCGCUGCAUUAGCUAGUUGGUAAGGUAACGGCUUACCAAGGCAACGAUGCAUAGCCGACCUGAGAGGGUGAUCGGCCACACUGGAACUGAGACACGGUCCAGACUCCUACGGGAGGCAGCAGUAGGGAAUCUUCCGCAAUGGGCGAAAGCCUGACGGAGCAACGCCGCGUGAGUGAUGAAGGUCUUCGGAUCGUAAAACUCUGUUAUUAGGGAAGAACAUAUAUGUAAGUAACUGUGCACAUCUUGACGGUACCUAAUCAGAAAGCCACGGCUAACUACGUGCCAGCAGCCGCGGUAAUACGUAGGUGGCAAGCGUUUAUCCGGAAUUAUUGGGCGUAAAGCGCGCGUAGGCGGUUUUUUAAGUCUGAUGUGAAAGCCCACGGCUCAACCGUGGAGGGUCAUUGGAAACUGGAAAACUUGAGUGCAGAAGAGGAAAGUGGAAUUCCAUGUGUAGCGGUGAAAUGCGCAGAGAUAUGGAGGAACACCAGUGGCGAAGGCGACUUUCUGGUCUGUAACUGACGCUGAUGUGCGAAAGCGUGGGGAUCAAACAGGAUUAGAUACCCUGGUAGUCCACGCCGUAAACGAUGAGUGCUAAGUGUUAGGGGGUUUCCGCCCCUUAGUGCUGCAGCUAACGCAUUAAGCACUCCGCCUGGGGAGUACGACCGCAAGGUUGAAACUCAAAGGAAUUGACGGGGACCCGCACAAGCGGUGGAGCAUGUGGUUUAAUUCGAAGCAACGCGAAGAACCUUACCAAAUCUUGACAUCCUUUGACAACUCUAGAGAUAGAGCUUUCCCCUUCGGGGGACAAAGUGACAGGUGGUGCAUGGUUGUCGUCAGCUCGUGUCGUGAGAUGUUGGGUUAAGUCCCGCAACGAGCGCAACCCUUAAGCUUAGUUGCCAUCAUUAAGUUGGGCACUCUAAGUUGACUGCCGGUGACAAACCGGAGGAAGGUGGGGAUGACGUCAAAUCAUCAUGCCCCUUAUGAUUUGGGCUACACACGUGCUACAAUGGACAAUACAAAGGGCAGCGAAACCGCGAGGUCAAGCAAAUCCCAUAAAGUUGUUCUCAGUUCGGAUUGUAGUCUGCAACUCGACUACAUGAAGCUGGAAUCGCUAGUAAUCGUAGAUCAGCAUGCUACGGUGAAUACGUUCCCGGGGUCU